CGCCGGCGUGGACGAGGUGCUAACCACCAGCACGCCGGGGAUACUGGACUCUGGGGGGUAGUUCUGAGAUGUCCAGCGCGCUGGCGAAGGCAGAGGCGCGGAACGAAAGUCUGACGGGC
rnacentral:sRNA from 17 species